CGAAGGGGGGCUAGCGUUGUUCGGAAUUUACUGGGGCGUAAAGCGCACGUAGGCGGAUUGUUAAGUUAGGGGGUGAAAUCCCGGGGGCUCAACCCCGGAACUGCCUUUAAUACUGGCGAUCUAGAGUCCGAGAGAGGUGAGUGGAAUUCCGAGUGUAGAGGUGAAAUUCGUAGAUAUUCGGAGGAACACCAGUGGCGAAGGCGGCUCACUGGCUCGGUACUGACGCUGAGGUGCGAAAGCGUGGGGGAGCAAACAGGAUU
rnacentral:rRNA from 1 species